rnacentral:rRNA from 1 species
GACGAACGCUGGCGGCGUGCUUAACACAUGCAAGUCGAACGGAAAGGCCCUGCUUGCAGGGUACUCGAGUGGCGAACGGGUGAGUAACACGUGGGUGAUCUGCCCUGCACUUCGGGAUAAGCCUGGGAAACUGGGUCUAAUACCGGAGAGGAGCCAUUUUGAGUGUGAUGGUUGGAAAGUUUUUUCGGUGGAGGAUGAGCUCGCGGCCUAUCAGCUUGUUGGUGGGGUAAUGGCCUCCCAAGGCGGCGGCGGGUAGCCGGCCCGAGAGGGUGGACGGCCACCUUGGGACUGAGAUAAGGCCCAGACUCCUACGGGAGGCAGCCGGGGGGAAUAUUGCAACAUGGGCGCAAGCCUGAUGCAGCGACGCCGCGUGGGGGAUGACGGCCUUCGGGUUGUAAACUCCUUUCGCUAGGGACGAAGCUUUUUGUGACGGUACCUAGAUAAGAAGCACCGGCUAACUACGUG